CGAGUGAAGCGGCAACAGCUCAAAUUUGAAAGCUGGCCCUUUUAGGGUCCGCAUUGUAAUUUGUAGAGGAUGAUUCGGCGAGGGCUCCUGCCUAAGUCCCCUGGAACGGGGCGUCAUAGAGGGUGAGAAUCCCGUAUGCGGUAGGUUGCCUUAGCCAUGUGAAUCUCCUUCGACGAGUCGAGUUGUUUGGGAAUGCAGCUCUAAAUGGGAGGUAAAUUUCUUCUAAAGCUAAAUACCGGCCAGAGACCGAUAGCGCACAAGUAGAGUGAUCGAAAGAUGAAAAGCACUUUGGAAAGAGAGUUAAAAAGUACGUGAAAUUGUUGAAAGGGAAGCGCUUGCAACCAGACUUGUCCGCAGUUGCUCAGCCGGUCUCCUGACCGGCGUACUCUUCUGCGGCCAGGCCAGCAUCAGUUCGGGCGGUCGGAUAAAGGCCUCGGGAAUGUGGCUCCUCUCGGGGAGUGUUAUAGCCCGGGGUGCAAUGCGGCCAGCCUGGACUGAGGAACUCGCUUCGGCAAGGAUGCUGGCGUAAUGGUUGUAAGCGGCCCGUCUUGAAACACGGACC
rnacentral:rRNA from 1 species